rnacentral:rRNA from 1 species
GUUUGAUCAUGGCUCAGAUUGAACGCUGGCGGCAGGCUUAACACAUGCAAGUCGAGCGGGGAAGGGUAGCUUGCUACCUGACCUAGCGGCGGACGGGUGAGUAAUGCUUAGGAAUCUGCCCAGUAGUGGGGGAUAGCCCGGGGAAACCCGGAUUAAUACCGCAUGAUCUCGCAAGAGCAAAGUGGGGGAUCGCAAGACCUCACGCUUUUAGAGGAACCUACGUCGGAUUAGCUUGUUGGUGAGGUAAUGGCUCACCAAGGCGACGAUCCGUAACUGGUCUGAGAGGAUGAUCAGUCACACCGGAACUGAGACACGGUCCGGACUCCUACGGGAGGCAGCAGU